rnacentral:rRNA from 1 species
CUCAGAUUGAACGCUAGCGGGAUGCCUUACACAUGCAAGUCGAACGGCAGCACGGACUUCGGUCUGGUGGCGAGUGGCGAACGGGUGAGUAAUGUAUCGGAACGUGCCUAGUAGCGGGGGAUAACUACGCGAAAGCGUAGCUAAUACCGCAUACGCCCUACGGGGGAAAGCAGGGGAUCGUAAGACCUUGCACUAUUAGAGCGGCCGAUAUCGGAUUAGCUAGUUGGUGGGGUAAUGGCUCACCAAGGCGACGAUCCGUAGCUGGUUUGAGAGGACGACCAGCCACACUGGGACUGAGACACGGCCCAGACUCCUACGGGAGGCAGCAGUGGGGAAUUUUGGACAAUGGGGGAAACCCUGAUCCAGCCAUCCCGCGUGUGCGAUGAAGGCCUUCGGGUUGUAAAGCACUUUUGGCAGGAAAGAAACGCCGCGGGUUAAUACCCUGCGGAACUGACGGUACCUGCAGAAUAAGCACCGGCUAACUACGUGCCAGCAGCCGCGGUAAUACGUAGGGUGCAAGCGUUAAUCGGAAUUACUGGGCGUAAAGCGUGCGCAGGCGGUUCGGAAAGAAAGAUGUGAAAUCCCAGAGCUUAACUUUGGAACUGCAUUUUUAACUACCGAGCUAGAGUGUGUCAGAGGGAGGUGGAAUUCCGCGUGUAGCAGUGAAAUGCGUAGAUAUGCGGAGGAACACCGAUGGCGAAGGCAGCCUCCUGGGAUAAC